ACAAAUAUGCCAGUUAGGCUUAAGACCCAAUUUGCAGCUGCUUCAUCUCUGGUUCUUCUCCCCCAACUCCAAAAUCCCUAAACCCCAAAUCAUGGAUCCAAAGCUCUUUGCAAGAACCCUAAUCCGAAAUGCGAUAGCGAGCAGGACCAAGUAGCCGACCCUUUACAACAAAAUCAGCCCGCUCGGAAACCCUAGCUUGAAUGUGGUUCUAGAGCUCGACUACUGGGUCUACAAUGGCAACAAAGUCCGAGUCACCGAGCUUCAGCGCAUCAUUCACGACUUCCGAAAGCGGAAACGCUUCUCCUAAGCCCUCCAGGGAGUUCUGAUGUACUGAUCUGAGAACCAUCUUCUUUUUCUUCUUCUGCUUCUCCCUGUGCAUUCCAGUUUGACUGUCUGUGAUCAAAAAGAACAUCUGUGACUCCACGAAAGAUUCAGUUUUUGCCUGAUCAUUGUCAAAUGCUGUAGCAACUGAUCUAAAGCAUUUUGCCUUUUGAAGAGAAGCUGCAGGGAAAGUAUGAGGUUGGGGAGGACGACGACGACGACGAAUCCGCUCUGAGUGAACUCGGCCUCCGCCGCAAAGCACUCAUUGUCUUCGUUUCGCUUCAAAGAUCCAAGCUUUUCUACAUGUUGGUGAAGUACAAAUUUGUUCCAUAACUCUCGAUUCAAUCGUCGUUUGAUGCAUUAAUUUCAAUCGUCCUUUUUUUCCCUUAUUUUCUUCUUCCUCUGCUUCGCUUUUGCUACUACUACUUCUUCUUCUUCUUGCCCCUUUUGGUUCCCCCCUCUCUUGCUUUAUUUCUUCUGAUAUUUUCUCUCUCUCUUGCUCUCUUCAAAAUCCCACAAGUCUUUGGAGUUAGAGGCUUUUGCUCUGUUGGGUUUUUUUCCAAUAACUCAAAGGGCCGAAACGUAUUCCCUUUUCAUCUGCUUCGAAAAGAUUUCAACUUUAAUGUCUGUAUGUGUUAUGACUCUUCACUGAAUGACAAGAACUAGGGUUAAAGAAUCAUCCUAUAAAGUUUAAACCGGAAGGGGGCAGGUUAUCAAUUACAGUUGGGACAAGAUUUUGGUAUUAACCAUUUAAUCUCUCUGUGUUCGUGUUGAAUUUUAGUUGGGGCAAUCGAUUUUAAUAAGUGGGUUUGUGACAUUACUCUAUAGGCGAGUAAUUUUAGGAAACAUGUUUUGAAAUUACAGAAGUUUCUAUGUCGAAUUCACUUUAUUUCACUUUGAAUCGUUGUCAAAUGACUGCUUUUGGGAACUUGGUGGUGCAUGAGGAAGUUCUUCAGGUUAUGCAAACGUUCGGAGGUUAACUUUCCAUUUGGAGAUUCUAUUGAAAAUAAGUUGUAGUUAUGAAUUUUCAGCAAAAGAAGCUCGUCAGGUUAGUUUGACAAUUAGUACUUCUCAAUAUUUAAUCGUUUCAUUUAAAAUGGUCUACAACGACAUCCAUUAUUUUGUGUUAAGUUUUUUUCCGUUAUUGGUUUAGGCACUUAUUUGGUUAUGUCUCUGUUCUCUACCUCCUCCUCUAACUCUCCUUUCUUUUUCUUCUUCUUCUUUCCUCUCUCUACAAAUUGCAAAUAUGGCGGAAUUGGUGGAGCUUCCCACUAGCCUCGACAUCCUUCCUUUUGCGGAACAAGUCUCAGUGGAUUGAAGAUCUCAGUCAAGGUUCGUUCCCUAUCAUUUCAAGCUAGAUUAGCUGGUGAGUGAUAUGCUCUUUGUACAGGUGCGCUAUAAUUGGUGCUCACUUUGUACUACUCCUUUUGUAACGUUGGGAUGUUUCAAGAUUUCUGACUCUGUGUGCUCUCUUUCUCUUUGCACUCUCUUUCUUCCCUCGCUCCCUCUCUGAUGUAAAGCCAUUUUAUGGUACAAUGUGUUUAUCCAAUAGGGAGAGAAGAGAAAAAUUGUGAGUGAGGAUGUCACCCAUUUGUGUGGAUCUUCGAUUCGGUGGGUGGGAUUGUGACAAUGAGAGAAAGAAAGUAUGAUAAUGGGAGUAAACUAUACCCCUUACAAAUAUUAGUGGGAUGUGCUAUCCACACUCCAAAUUACUUCUCACACACUCCUUGUUAAUUUAUGUCCGUUGAUCUUCUUCAAUUCACCAAAUCCGACGGCAGAAAAUUAGAAGGGUGUGUGAGAAGUAAAAUGAGGUGUGUGGAUAUCACUCCCCAUAUUAGUUUCGGUUCUCAUGUCCAAGUGUUUCUUUCUACUUUCAAUUAAGUUUUGUUUGUAUGUUA